AUGGCUCCAACAUUUUCCCCCAUAUAAUUUUCACAUUUUGGUUUCCCUCCUCCCAAAAAUUAUAAAAAGCGCUUUUCUUCAUUUAGUUUCCUUCUCCCUCUUCAUCUCAACCCUACCACCUCAACAUUUUUGAGCUCUCAAUACAAUCUCUUUCAUCAAUCAAAAACCAUAGCGCUGCCGCCACCACCACAGACAAGAACAAAUGAACAUUAACCUCUCUCACUACAAGAAAAAUUUCAUAUCCAAAUUUAUCUUUCCUGCUGAUUGAAAUCGAUUGUUCCAAUUAUAACGGCUUCAAAGCGCAUCGUGAAGGAGCUAAAUGAUUUUUAGAAGGACCCUUCAUUAUCAUGUAGUACAGCUCUGAUCCCGUUGUCGGAGUUUUGUGAGAAGAACAUGAUGUGAGGUGGACCUUGACGCUGAGGUUUUGGACAUUACUUGAUGCUGCUUCUAGACAAAAACAGCAGAUUGAAGAAGCAAAGCUUUUUCGUGCUCAAGGUCAAAAUGAGAUGGCUAUCAACCUUGGAAUGUACAUAUCACAAAAUUAUCAAAGUAAUGAAGAGGUUUCAGAUGUAUAUCGCUUGAUUGGGAAGUGGCUGGCAGAGAUCAGAUCUAGCAAGUUAUUGGACAAACUUAAUUCUGUUUAAUGUUUAAAUAAUGGAUGCUCCCUUGUGAUGCCUGACUCAUUUGAGUUCAUGUCUUCUAAUGUUUUUAUCUUAACUUGCAGCUCAAGAACAAUUUUGGAGAAGCAUUUGAAACCUGCAGUCUCUAUUGCUGAGGAUGUGAAAAGUACAGAUAAGAAGGCCAUGGAAAAGAAAUGUCAUACCCAUUUUCAUCUUGCACACUAUACUGAUGCUCUAUUUAGGAGUCAUGAAGAAAGACUUGAUUCUAAUGGUGGAAGGAUCAAAGAGCAAAAUGUAGCUAAGUUUAUAUCAACACUAGCUGGUUGAAAAAAUGAAAAACUAAUGGUCAUGGCACAUGCUACUUCAAUAGACACUACCCUACACUAGCUUUUGUUGCUGUUGUUAAUCAAAUUGGUGGUGAUGGCCAAGUCAUUUGUCCAAUUCAAUUUUAUUUUCAUAGUUAGAAAAUCUUCAAGAGCUAAAUGCCUAAUUCAGUUUCAUAGUUGGAUAAGCUCAAGUACUAUUUCUAGACCAAUAUGAAGGAGCAAUACUCUGCAACAUUUUGUCAAAGCGAAAGAAAUUGAAUAUGGGUGAUAUGCUUUGACAGUCGAUCAACAACCUUUGAAUCUUCAUGUCAAAACAGUUUGAAUGUUUUGAUUUCAUAUUGAUUAUGUAGUUUUAUUUCAACAACCUUUUGUUUUCAUAAGAUUUAAGAUUUGACA